ACCGUGCGAUCGAGGUGAAUUAUGGCUCCCAUUCUGCAGAUAAGGAACCCAAGGCCCAGAGAGGGUGUGCGGCUUGCCCUGUGUCACAGCUGAUGGAACUGGGGCCUUCUAGAAAGGAAGAAGAAACAGAAGAACGGGACCUGGGCCGGCCCUGGGCCUGCUUUGAGAUGUUUCCUGCUGAACAACCACCUGGCCUUCACCUCUGUGUUUCAUCGACUCCUUGCUGUGAAUCAAGUGCAGCCUCUUUCCAGCCACUCCCCAGUCCCAGCAACAAUUCCUUUGAGAGAACAACCUCAGGCCAGAAAUCUUCCUGCCCAGAGCAGUGAAAGGGCCCAAAUGUAAAUACAUGCAGGCCUCAGAGUUUCACAACUGCCCUGAGUCACUUCUCUUCACAGAAUACAGGGCCAAGGCAUAAGAGUUCCCAAUCUUAUCAGUGAGGCUGAACCCAGGUGUCUUUCAGACUUUUUUCAUUUGGUCAUUUCCAAGUUCUCUCUAUUGGAAGGAGGUUCUCUGGAUGUUUAUGCUGAUGGCAGAAAAGGAAAUAGAAC
ensembl:lncRNA